AUUGAACGCUGGCGGCAGGCCUAACACAUGCAAGUCGAACGGUAACAGGAAGAAGCUUGCUUCUUUGCUGACGAGUGGCGGACGGGUGAGUAAUGUCUGGGAAACUGCCUGAUGGAGGGGGAUAACUACUGGAAACGGUAGCUAAUACCGCAUAACGUCGCAAGACCAAAAAGGGGGACCUUCGGGCCUCUUGCCAUCGGAUGUGCCCAGAUGGGAUUAGCUAGUAGGUGGGGUAACGGCUCACCUAGGCGACGAUCCCUAGCUGGUCUGAGAGGAUGACCAGCCACACUGGAACUGAGACACGGUCCAGACUCCUACGGGAGGCAGCAGUGGGGAAUAUUGGACAAUGGGCGCAAGCCUGAUGCAGCCAUGCCGCGUGUAUGAAGAAGGCCUUCGGGUUGUAAAGUACUUUCAGCGGGGAGGAAGGGAGUAAAGUUAAUACCUUUGCGCAUUGACGUUACCCGCAGAAGAAGCACCGGCUAACUCCGUG
rnacentral:rRNA from 1 species